rnacentral:rRNA from 1 species
GACGAACGCUGGCGGCGUGCUUAACACAUGCAAGUCGAACGGAAAGGCCCUGCUUUUGUGGCGUGCUCGUGUGGCGAACGGGUGAGUAACACGCGAGUAACCUGCCCCUGACUUUGGGAUAACUUCAGGAAACUGGGGCUAAUAUCGGAUAGGAGCUCCUGCUGCAUGGUGGGGGUUGGAAAGUUUCGGCGGUUCGGGAUGGUCUCGCCGGUUAUCAGUUUGUUUGGGGUGUAGUGACUUACCAAGGCUUUGACGGGUAGCCGGCGUGAGCGGGUGACCAGCCUCCUUGGUACUACGCUACGGACCAGGCGUCUACGGGUGGCAACGGUCGGAAAUCUGCCACAGUGGCCGGAAGCAUGUUGCAUCAACCCCGCGUGCGGGAUGAUGGCCUUCGUGUGGAGAACCGCUUUCGCCUGAAACUAAUCGAGAGUGACGGUACUUGUUAAAGAAGCACCGGCUAACUACGUG